AGCUGUACUAUGGCACACACCCCUGUCAAGAAGACUCAUGGGAACUGACCGUCUCUGUAGCAACGUGCACUACCUGUCAAACCUGAUUGACUGUCACCCUGUGGGAAAACCACCGUCAAAUCCCCAUCCGUCUUCGUCUACAGUUCCAAAAGGUAAUGAGAUAGACACAACUUAAUAUGUGUGUGUGUGUGUGUGUGUACGCGUGUGCACAUGUAUGUGCUUUUAAAAAAACACUUACCAGCUCUCACCUCAGGUCUCAGGGGAUACCUGGAAACUUCGCUGCAGCCAUCACAAUCCUCUGACCUUGACUGCAAUGCAGCAGGUAAACACUACAGUUGAUCACAGCAUGACACAGGCUGGUAUCUCAACACAACAGGUCUUUACGGAGUGCUAAGUAGGAACCUGGGGAGAGACUGAGGCCUGGGAAAAAGACAAACAAACAAACAUAACGUUGCUGCUUGAGGCCUGUCUUGGCUGAAACACUGCUUGUCAAGCCUUUCACACAAUGUCGGAAAGUAAAUAGAAGGAAAAAGGAGGAGACAAAGGUCAUAAACAAUCAGGCUUUGAUGUAGAGGUAGCUCGGGGAGGAGGCGGAAUACUUCUCAACUUUAAAAUAAGAGUCAGCAUCUUUAAGGCGAACAGAUUCCCAGAGUAGUCCCAAGUUUUUUCAAGGUGAGUGUACAAAGAAACCACGUUUGUUGUUUGGUGCUUGGCAUAUAUCCAAGGUGGCUGUUUUAUCUUUCAGGCACCAUGAAUUUUCUGGAGAAAAGACCCAUUUUUCUCUCUAUGACUACAAAAAGAAACACUGGUCUUUUGCUACGCUUGGUGUAGCUUUUGUAGUAAACCCAUUCAUUGCACUCACGCGAAUACUUGAUCCUCUGAUUAUUUUUCUUUAAUUUGAAUAUCACCCAGAGUUAAUUCACACUACAAAGCCUCAUUCUCUGCAGAGUGUUUCCAGUCUCUCAAGAAAUAACAAAGACAACAGAGAAAAAGAGCAACAGGAAGAC